rnacentral:rRNA from 1 species
AACGAACGCUUGCGGCGCGCCUAAUACAUGCAAGUCGAACGAACCAGCAAUGGUGAGUGGCGCACGGGUGAGUAACGCGUGGAUAAUCUGCCCUCUACUGGGGAAUAACUAACCGAAAGGUUAGCUAAUACCGCAUGAGACCACGAUCCCUGAGGGGAACGAGGUUAAAGAUUUAUCGGUAGAGGAUGAGUCUGCGUGGGAUUAGCUAGUUGGUGGGGUAACGGCCGUACCAAGGCACGAUCUCUAACAGGUACUGAGAGGAUGACCUGUCACACUGGAACUGAGACACGGUCCA